CCCAUAUUUUUUAUAUGAAAUAUUACGCAAUAUCUAUUGAGAAUUUUUGUUAAAUAUUCCUUUCAGUAUCUAAAGCUGAUCACAUUAGAUAGGUGUUCCGGAGGUUUGAAAAAGUUGACAUGAUUCAGAUCAGAGAUUUAUUAUGAGAUAUGAAGGUAGCGACAUUGCAGAAAAAGUACAUAACCUGCGUUAGCUGCCUAUUUAAAUUUUUUCUGCAGUAAUCGCGACCUCCAUAACCGGCAUGAGUCACCAAAGAAAGCAUUUUACUGUUUAUAUUAACGUCUUUCUUUACUCUUAAUUAAUAAAUUGAUUACGAAAAUAAGUAAAAUUCUCUAAAUUACUGUUAAUGUACUUAUUAGGUACGUCAGCUAAAAGAAACAGCCAAAUCUUUGAGUCUGACAUCAUCAUGAUUGUUUUGUGCAGUCCGUGAUAUAUAUUUCUAAUGUCGCUGUAGGUUUUGACCAUUCAAUAAAUAGGGCAUGUCAAUUUUAGUCAGAUUUUGACCAAUCGAUAAAUGGGGCAUGUAGAUUUCAGUCUGGCUGUUUCUAGCUAUGAAUUAACUGUAAGUUUCAUCAAGAAAUACAGGGAAAAAUAAAUAAUAAUUAUAAUAAAAAUAUUGAUUUAUUUAUUUAUGUAUCAGCUUCAUUUUAAUGUGUUUACAAAAUUAUAGUUAAUAAUUAGUUGUCAUUCAUUUUCACUCCAGUUUUCAGUCUUUUUAUACUUCUCACUAAUAUGUUGCCAUUUUUUUUUGUUAUAUAGUCAGUAUAGCAUAAUAUGCCAUAAACAUACAACUGUUUCCAAAACAGUUCCAGUCCAAUGUUCUCUGAUGAGCAUAAUUAAUGCUUAAUUUUUAAUGAUUAUGUUUCUCAGUCUGUAUUAUAAUUGUGUGGCCUGAACUGGUUUAUAUGCAGAUAUAUGAUGAUUAUGAAUUUAAUUUUUUUGUAACUCACUUGCAAAUAAAAG
rnacentral:sRNA from 1 species